AGAGUUUGAUCGUGGCUCAGGACGAACGCUGGCGGCGUGCUUAACACAUGCAAGUCGAACGGAAAGUGCCCGGCCGGCCGUGAUUAAAGUGGCGAAGGUGAGUAACGCAUAGACAACCUGCCCCGGACACGGGGAUAACGGCUGGAACGGCCGCUAAUACCCGAUGAAGCCGCAGGUCGCAUGUCCUGUGGUUAAGUUGGGGAUCUUUCGGGACCUUUCGGUCCGGGAGGGGUCUAUGUCCUAUCAGCUUGUUGGUGGGGUAAUGGCCUACCAAGGCGACGACGGGUAGCCGGCCUGAGAGGGUGUACGGCCACAUUGGGACUGAGACACGGCCCAGACUCCUACGGGAGGCUGCAGUCGGGAAUAUUCCACAAUGGGCGCAAGCCUGAUGGUGCGACGCCGCGUGGGGGAUGAGGGCCUUCGGGUUGUAAACUCCUGUCAGAGGUUAGAAAAGCCCGUUCGCUAAUACCGGUCGGGUUUGACGUAAGCCUCAGAGGAAGCUCCGGCUAACUACGUGCCAGCAGCCGCGGAAUUACUGGGCGUAAAGAGCUCGUAGGUGGUUUGUCGCGUCGUCUGUGAAAUCCCGGGGCUUAACUUCGGGCGUGCAGGCGAUACGGGCAUAACUAGAGUGCUGUAGGGGAGACUGGAAUUCCUGGUGUAGCGGUGAAAUGCGCAGAUAUCAGGAGGAACACCGAUGGCGAAGGCAGGUCUCUGGGCAGUUACUGACGCUGAGGAGCGAAAGCAUGGGUAGCGAACAGGAUUAGAUACCCUGGUAGUCCAUGCCGUAAACGGUGGGCGCUAGGUGUGGGGGUUUUAUUUACGAUUCCCGUGCCGUAGCUAACGCAUUAAGCGCCCCGCCUGGGGAGUACGGCCGCAAGGCUAAAACUCAAAGGAAUUGACGG
rnacentral:rRNA from 1 species